CAAAUAUUCCCUUCAUCCGGAUAUACUUGUGUAAGAAUGAAUGUAUCUAGAUGCAUUUUAGUUCUAUAUACAUUCAUUUUUAUACAUUUGUGCGACAAGUAAUUCCGGACGGAUGGAGUACUUC
rnacentral:pre_miRNA from 1 species